rnacentral:lncRNA from 1 species
GGAUUAAAUGGAUUUAACUGUAAUUUUAGACAAAAUAAGGUUAGUUUCAGGAGACUUUGCAUGAGGAGUUUUAAGAAGUUAAACAAAGCACACCAAUGCAAUGGAAUUCCAUGGUGGUUGCCUGGUGGCAAAAGGAAUAAGCAGCUUCCUAGCUCAGCACAGUAAUCAGUGGCCAUUAGGCUAAAAGAAAUAAAAAGAUACAGAGUUCACCUAGAGUUUUUAUCAGCAUUUAGUGUUUCUUGACUGAAAUUACCUUAUAUUAGUAAAAAAAAAAAAAAAAAAGAAAGAAAGAAAGAGAAGAAAAUAAAAGAAAUCCAAAUUUGCGUUAGGUCUUCUAGUGGCAAAUCAAAGCAAGUGUUGAACAAUACAGGUCAGGAAGAAAUAAAACAAAAAAUCUGCAAAACAAAAACAGCAUCACUUUACCCAAAUAAUUCAGAUUAACAUACACCAGCAUCGCUGGGCGAUUACUCUGUUCCAGGCAGCCGCAGGUGGAUCUUCAUACAAGGCCAGAUUUCUACCACAGUUCAGUCUCAGAGUUUAACACUUCUCUAACAGCCACAUAGAACAGACAUUCUUCAGCUAGGAGUUUGAAGGCUCCCCAGUCGAGCCUCACAAUUGCCCACCCAAUCCUUUCUACCUCUGGGAUGCCCAUGCACCAGCAGGAAUUCAGCAGAGCCAGGCUCCAGGGGUAAGAACUCUCACCCUGCCAACUCCAGGCUCUGUCAGAAUCACCAUUUGAGAGCAUUGGGUAAGGAUCACAACAGCCCCUCCUCAGGUCUUCCCCGGGGCAUUUCCCGUCUUCUCAGUGAACACAAAUGAAUUCCCUUCUUCAUACCUAAAUAAGGUAGCUGAUCGACCUGGCACUAAAAAGGUGGACUAAGGCAAAAAGGGCAAGAGCGAGAAUGGGAAACGUUCUUUGGAGCCCCCAAACAGGAAACACAUUUACUUUUUGCAUUUCUGCAGACAUUCAAAACAAUUCCUGAACAUUAAGAAUCGUGCACCCAUUUGGAAUAAUUGAAACUGAAAUGUGAAAGGAAUUACAUUUCACUAAUCCAUUUACAAUGGUAUGAAUUGCUUCUCAUAGCCAACUGCCAGAUGGGCUGCUUUAUUUAAUAACUUGAAUGCUAAAGUUCCCCCAGGCAAGGAGACAGUUCUACCACCAACUGUGGAAUUUUCUUUCCCUUUCUCCUUUUUCUUGAGGUGGCCUGGCUUUGGUCCAAAACUUCCUGAGUUGUCAGCCAACAGGAGUACCUGCUCGCCUCUUCCCGUUCCAGCCGCCCAGGC